AUUGAACGCUGGCGGCAUGCCUUACACAUGCAAGUCGAACGGCAGCACGGGUGCUUGCGCCUGGUGACGAGUGGCGAACGGGUGAGUAAUACAUCGGAACGUACCUUAUCGUGGGGGAUAACGCAGCGAAAGCUGUGCUAAUACCGCAUACGCCCUGAGGGGGAAAGCGGGGGAUCGAAAGACCUCGCGCGAUUAGAGCGGCCGAUGCCUGAUUAGCUUGUUGGUGGGGUAAAAGCCCACCAAGGCGACGAUCAGUAGCUGGUCUGAGAGGACGAUCAGCCACACUGGGACUGAGACACGGCCCAGACUCCUACGGGAGGCAGCAGUGGGGAAUUUUGGACAAUGGGGGCAACCCUGAUCCAGCAAUGCCGCGUGAGUGAAGAAGGCCUUCGGGUUGUAAAGCUCUUUUGUCAGGGAAGAAACACCGGCUCUAACACAGUCCGGGAAUGACGGUACCUGAAGAAUAAGCACCGGCUAACUACGUGCCAGCCGCCGCAGUAA
rnacentral:rRNA from 1 species